rnacentral:snoRNA from 1 species
UUUUAUGAUGUUAUAAUUUGCGAUUGAACUUGGCUCGUGGAGCUCUUGCCGGAGAUUCUAUACGUUGCUAAGGAGAUGAUAAACAUUCUUACAUAUGCUGAAA